rnacentral:lncRNA from 1 species
AUGCCGCUCCUCGGCCGCCUCCCCACGCGCACCCACCCACCGCCUCUCUUCCUCUGGUGCUUGCUCGUCAUCCAGAACAUGAGCCGCUACAUGCGUGUUAGGCAAACCUGCAAGAUGGGGAGGCUGCGUCUAGCGACGAGCAGGAAGGCGAGGUCCUUCUUCUCCAUGACGACGCAGCCGAGGCGGGGGAAGACAGCACAGCGGAAGGGGCCCGGGUGCACGGCGAAGACGCGGGACACGGCGCCAUUGAUGCCGCCACCACCGCGUCCCUCCGGUGUGAGGUGCACAUCGACGAGCGCCAGGGGAAGCGGUGAGCACGUAGAACAGGAAGAUGGAUAGGCAGAUCGAC